UUACGACCAUAUCACGUUGAAACACCGGUUCUCGUCCGAUUACCGAAGUUAAACACCAUUGAUCCUGCUCAGUACCUAGAUGGGUGACCGCUUGGGAAUACCAGGUAAAGCA